rnacentral:rRNA from 1 species
GACGGCCGCUGGCGGCGUGCUUAACACAUGCAAGUCGAACGGAAAGGCCCCGCUUUUGUGGGGUGCUCGAGUGGCGAACGGGUGAGUAACACGUGAGUAACCUGCCCUUGACUUUGGGAUAACUUCAGGAAACUGGGGCUAAUACCGGAUAGGAGCUCCUGCUGCAUGGUGGGGGUUGGAAAGUUUCGGCGGGUGGGGAUGGACUCGCGGCUUAUCAGCUUGUUGGUGGGGUAGUGGCUUACCAAGGCUUUGACGGGUAGCCGGCCUGAGAGGGUGACCGGCCACAUUGGGACUGAGAUACGGCCCAGACUCCUACGGGAGGCAGCAGUGGGGAAUAUUGCACAAUGGGCGGAAGCCUGAUGCAGCAACGCCGCGUGCGGGAUGACGGCCUUCGGGUUGUAAACCGCUUUCGCCUGUGACGAAGCGUGAGUGACGGUAAUGGGUAAAGAAGCACCGGCUAACUACGUG